rnacentral:rRNA from 1 species
GGAAUAUUGGUCAAUGGACGCAAGUCUGAACCAGCCAUGCCGCGUGGAGGAUGAAGGUCCUCUGGAUUGUAAACUUCUUUUAUCUGGGAAGAAAUCCAUUUUUUCUAAAGUGGUUGACGGUACCCGAUGAAUAAGCACCGGCUAACUCCGUGCCAGCAGCCGCGGUAAUACGGAGGGUGCAAGCGUUAUCCGGAUUCACUGGGUUUAAAGGGUGCGUAGGUGGACUGGUAAGUCAGUGGUGAAAUCCCCGAGCUUAACUUGGGAACUGCCAUUGAUACUAUUAGUCUUGAAUACCGUGGAGGUCAGCGGAAUAUGUCAUGUAGCGGUGAAAUGCAUAGAUAUGACAUAGAACACCCAUUGCGAAGGCAGCUGACUACGCGGAGAUUGACACUGAGGCACGAAAGCGUGGGGAUCAAAC